CUUUCUUUUUAUCAUAAGGGCAUAAACCCAAUUGCACAUUAUUCUCAGAACAAUUUUCUCUUUUGUAGGACUUGUCCAUCAAACAGGUGCACAUAUUUUCUUUAUGAAUUCCUUGAUGAAACUGAAAGCAAGGUACUAUAACUACUACAUUGUUAUUGAUUUUCUUUGUAUUGUGAGGAUAAAUUGGAGCAGGUGAUAACACUGUGGGUCACAACACCUUGUCCAAUGCUUACCUGGGGCAACCAGGAGUCGAUAUGGCCCCUGUCUUACUCAGCGCUGGAAGCAGUUCCAACAGAAAUAAUCCAAUACCUAGCUAAGCACAAAAGAGACUUCUCAGCAUGGGAGAAACACCUGAGGAAAGAGGAGGAGGUGAGCUCCUCCAGGAAGACACUAUGCCCUUCCUCCAAGAACGCCCAGUACGAGCGCAUUGGCCACCUGUCAACACCCAAGACCAGGUCCCGAAGCUCCCAGGAAAUGGGGUAAAGUCCCGACGCUCCCAGGAAAUGUGUUUUUGAAGAAAGUGGAGACGUACAUUUCAUGUGCUGCCAAAACUGGCCAGACCACUCCCAGGCUGGACCAGCUCUCGCUACCCAAGUUGAGGGACAGUCAAAUGUCCAGAAGACUCCAUUUGGCCAAUCCUUGGACAGGACUCUCUGAAACAUGCGUUCUCAACAGGUGUCAAGGGGAGCUCGGCAGGCUACAGCGACCUCACGCCUUCGAACUCUAUCAGCUCCUAAGGGACUUAAUAAGGACUACAUUCUUCUUCUUUAUGUGCUUGCUUCUCCGUCAAGGUCCAUGUUGGUGCACAAUGGACAAGGGAAAAUGGUCGCUGCGAAAAGCAAAAUAAAUGGGUAGACCCAAGGGGUCUCUGCUUUUUAAAAUCUGUUUGGCGCCAGGGCUGAGAUGGUAAAACCGGCGCCUCUUUGUCCCCACUGGUUUUGCAAUCAUGUGCAAUGAGACGUGUGCUUGGAGCUCUUUUGGACAAAAUCAAAGCAUUACAUUACAUUGUCUUUAGCAAACGGCCAAACCAAACUGGCUCCUUUCUGACCAUUGGGGUUGUUUUCUUUGCUUUGCUACUUCCAAGAUCCAGUAGCCCCCCUUUCCAAAAUAAUGUGUUAUCAUCUUUUGAAAUGAGAGUAAGGUAUGAUAAAAGGAUCCACAUGUGUUUCUACAUUUCAA